UACAGAGGUCUCAAGCGUUGUUCGGAUUCAUUGGGCGUAAAGGGUGCGUAGGCGGCGCGGUAAGUCGGGUGUGAAAUCUCGGAGCUUAACUCCGAAACUGCAUUCGAUACUGCCGUGCUUGAGGACUGGAGAGGAGACUGGAAUUUACGGUGUAGCAGUGAAAUGCGUAGAUAUCGUAAGGAACGCCAGUGGCGAAAGCGAGUCUCUGGGCAGCAUCUGACACUGAGGCACGAAGGCCAGGGGAGCAAACGGG
rnacentral:rRNA from 1 species